rnacentral:sRNA from 1 species
GGGCAGACGCUUGCCCCGGGCGAGGUUCUGCGCAGGUAAGAGGCCGGUGGGCUUCCCAGCACACACUGUGUGCCUGGGAAGUUCUGCUGGCUCACCUGCGUUCCUCCACAGCGUGCCAGACGACUACCGCUGUGGGAAGGCGCUGGGCCCCGUGGAGUCGCUCCAGGGACACCUGCGGGACCCCACGAAGAUUCUCAUUGGCUACAGCCGGGGCCUGCUGGUCAUCUGGAACCAGGCCUCGCAGUGUGUGGACCACAUCUUCCUGGGGAACCAGCAGCUGGAGAGCCUAUGCUGGGGGCGUGAUAGCAGCACUGUGGUCAGCUCACACAGCGAUGGCAGCUAUGCUGUCUGGUCUGUGGAUGCCGGCAGCUCCCCAACGCUGCAGCCCACGGUAGCCACCACACCUUACGGCCCCUUUCCCUGCAAGGCCAUUAACAAGAUUCUGUGGCGGAACUGUGAAUCUGGGGGCCACUUUAUCAUCUUCAGCGGUGGCAUGCCCCGUGCCAGCUAUGGUGACCGCCACUGUGUAAGUGUGCUUCGAGCCGAGACAUUGGUGACGCUGGACUUCACCUCCCGCAUCAUCGACUUCUUCACAGUGCACAGCACACGGCCCGAGGAUGAAUUUGAUGACCCCCAGGCCCUGGCUGUGCUGCUGGAAGAGGAGCUGGUGGUGCUGGACCUGCAGACUCCCGGCUGGCCAGCUGUGCCUGCCCCAUACCUGGCCCCGCUGCAUUCGUCUGCAAUCACUUGCUCGGCCCACGUGGCCAAUGUCCCUGCCAAGCUGUGGGCCCGCAUUGUGAGCGCUGGCGAGCAGCAGAGCCCCCAGCCUGUCUCCAGUGCCUUGAGCUGGCCCAUCACUGGGGGCCGAAACCUGGCCCAGGAGCCGUCACAGCGAGGGCUGCUGCUGACAGGGUAGGUGUGCGUGCUUAUGUGGGUGAGUGGGCCCCUUGCUGUUGGGGGAGAGCCCAUCCUGGGCCUGGUGGGUGCAGAGGUGCCAGGAGACUCAGGCCUGGCCCCUGGUGGGACCAGGUAGUUCCUCCUUGCCCAAGGUGGAUUGGAAUGAAACCUCCCUGGACCUUGGUUCAAGGUGCUGUCCUGAUCUGCCUUUUGGCCUGGAACUGAGCUCUACCAAACCCCAGGGCUCCACCCGCCCAGCCUGCCUGCCCUGGGACUGGAAAAUCUGGGCUGGCCCACGCUGAGCUGCCCAGGGAAGGUGCCAGAGAGCCCAGCCUGGGCCUGGCGGGCACUGACGUGCCCGGUGACUCAGGUCUCAACUUCCUGCCCUGCCCCCACUCCCGCCUGUGCUGGGACCCUCAGGCCUCUGACUCUGGUGUGCCCUUCCCUGCUGAAGAGCUUGCUGUGGCUUUCAGGGCUGCUGGAGUGAGUCUUAAUCACCCCCACAGUCACACACCUCUCACGCCCUGGCUCUGGGCUUUCACCACCACCCGGGGCCCUGCUUGGGCUCUGCAGCUGUGUCCCAAGGCUGCGCCCUAGAUUUGUCUACUCCUUCCCCUGCCCCCUCCCUGCUUCCUCCCGGCCUCUGCAGUCUUCCUGCUCCACCUACGUGGCUGCCUUGGGCCCCAUGCAGCUCCUCCCCUGCGAUGCCCUAUGCUCUGUUCUGUGACUGUCUUGCUCUUGAUCACCUUUGAUGGCUGCUCCAGUGUAGGCAGAACCCCCAAAGUCCUCUAUUCUCUACAUGUCCCCCUUUGCCACCUCCUGUUAAUCAGCGUGGUCAUUUCCACCUUGUUUGGUUUAAAGGGCCUAGGUGCAUGUGGUGCAUGUGGCCUGGCCUAUAACAGGUGCGCAGUGUGCCUGUGCUGUAUACAGUAGGUGCCUAUUGUUUUUUGUAACAGUAGGAUUCCGGUCAGUGUUUGGCACGUGCAGUAGGUGCUUAGUGAGUGGUCAUCAGAUGAGUGAAUGGAGGGAUGUGCAGGCCUCCCAGGAACUCAGGGGUAGCCCUGACAUCUGCCCUCCCUGCAGCCAUGAGGACGGCACUGUGAGGUUCUGGGAUGCCUCGGGUGUGGCGCUGCGGCCGCUGUAUAAGCUGAGCACAGCUGGCCUCUUCCAGACGGACUGUGAGCACGCUGACAGCCUGGCCCAGGCUGCCGAGGACGACUGGCCACCCUUCCGCAAGGUGGGCCCCUCCCCUGGCCCUGAUGAGCUGGUCCUGACCCCACCUGGACUCAUUACUCCUUCCCAUCCCUCUAGGUGGGCUGCUUCGAUCCCUACAGUGACGAUCCCCGGCUUGGCGUGCAGAAGGUUGCUCUCUGCAAGUAUACAGCCCAGAUGGUGGUGGCUGGCACUGCGGGCCAGGUAGGGCUGGGUGUCCUCUGGGUUGGAGAUGUCAGGGAGGGCUUUCUGGAAGAGAUGAGCUGGAGGGUCUGGUGGAAAGGGAGGUGGACUGGCACAGGCAAAAGCCAAGGUGGGAAUAGGGCUCUGGGUGGGGCUGGCUGGGGUGAGGACAGAUGGGAAGUGGGCCUGUCGCUGGGGGAACCACAGUGUUGAGAGGCGGGAACUCAUGUCAGUGCUGUGCUCCGGCACUCACACGACAUACAGGAGGUGCUCAAUGUGUCCUUAUUGCUAAAUGGGAGAUACAAGCUCAGGGUAAGGGUGGACACUUUGCCCUCAGAGGGCAGGGACUAGUGUGUCUUGGUCACCACUGUGUUCCUUGUGCUCAGCUAGGGCCUUGGUAUACAGUAGGCAUUCAGUGAGUGCUUGUUUAAAACGCUGAUGAACUGAAGACAGUCCUAGAACCACCUUGGUGGUGGCUGGGGCUGCUUCAGAGGCUCCAGGCUGAGUGGGGCCCAGGGCGGCCCCUCCCCUGCGCUGAUGCUCCCCCUGCCUGGCUGUGGGCUCAGGUGCUGGUACUGGAGCUUAGUGAUGUUCCGGUGGAGCAGGCGGUCAGCGUGGCCAUCAUAGACCUCCUCCAGGACCGCGAGGGCUUCACGUGGAAGGGCCACGAGCGGCUGAGCCCACGCACAGGGCCGCUGCCCUGGCCUGCUGGCUUCCAGCCCCGUGUCCUGGUGCAGUGCCUGCCGCCAGCUGCUGUAACUGCUGUCACACUCCAUACCGAGUGGAGCCUCGUGGCUUUUGGCACCAGUCAUGGCUUUGGCCUCUUCGACUACCAGCGCAAGAGCCCUGUGCUGGCCAGGUGCACUCUUCACCCCAAUGACUCCCUGGCCAUGGAGGGUCCGCUCUCCCGGGUGAAGUCCCUCAAGAAGUCGCUGCGCCAGUCUUUCCGGCGCAUUCGCAAGAGUCGUGUCUCGGGCAAGAAGCGGGCUGCUAAUGCCAGCAGCAAGUUGCAGGAAGCCAAUGCACAGCUGGCCGAGCAGGCCUGCCCCCAUGAUGUGGAGAUGACGCCGGUGCAGCGCCGCAUUGAGCCCCGCUCUGCCGAUGACUCCUUGUCAGGCGUCGUGCGUUGCCUAUACUUUGCCGACACAUUCCUUCGAGAUGGGGCCCACCACGGGCCCACCAUGUGGGCUGGCACCAACUCAGGCUCCGUGUUCGCCUAUGCACUGGAGGUGCCGACAGCAGCAGUGGGUGGUGAGAAGCGGCCUGAGCAAGCGGUGGAGGCUGUGCUGGGCAAGGAGGUGCAGCUGAUGCACCGGGCGCCUGUGGUGGCCAUUGCCGUGUUGGACGGGCGUGGCCGCCCGCUGCCUGAGCCCUAUGAGGCCUCACGGGACCUGGCGCAGGCACCUGACAUGCAGGGUGGUCACGCUGUGCUCAUCGCAUCUGAGGAGCAGUUCAAGGUGAGCCACUGUGGGCUGUGGGGGACUCUGGGGGACUCGCCUCCAGGCCCCAACCUCAUGGACACCAUUGGACCCUCUAGAAACCCUUCCUGCCUGUAUCUCCCACUGUUGGGACCCUAAUUCUCUUGCACCCCAGAAAACACUCCCAGCCAGCAGAGAACUCCUACCCAAGAACCCUGAUGCCCCCGCAGCCUGCUGAGUUCCCCUGGGAGGGCAGGAAUCUAGUCCUAUCUCACUGUGCCACACAAGGCUCCUGUACCGGGCCUAGACCCCUGAGCCCAGUCCCCAGGGGCUCUGCCUCGAAAGAACUCGAGGUUUGAUGGGGAUACCAGCUGCAUAACCUUGGCACUCUGUGAUUGAUUUUGUCACAGAUCGAGAGAGGGCCUGGGAGGUUUCUGGAGUACAGUGUGAAGUCUGGAGUUCAGUGGGGCAGCCAGGUGUACAGGCAGGGGAGGCCACGUAGCAUGCAGCUGGGCUUUGUGGUGGGGGCUGGUGGGUCAGCAGCCAUGAGGGUGAGGGGCCCUGGGGAUGAGGACAGGGCCAGGCUUUGUGCUCACCGGCCACCUGCUGUCAGGUGUUCACACUGCCCAAGGUGAGCGCGAAGACCAAGUUCAAGCUGACGGCCCAUGAGGGCUGUCGUGUGCGCAAGGUGGCACUGGCCACGUUUGCCAGUGUGGCCUGCGAGGACUAUGCUGAGACCUGCCUGGCCUGCCUCACCAACCUGGGUGAUGUCCACGUCUUCUCGGUGCCUGGCCUGCGGCCCCAGGUGCACUAUUCCUGCAUCCGGAAAGAGGACAUCAGCGGCAUCGCUUCAUGCGUCUUUACGCGCCAUGGCCAGGGUGAGGCGGGGCAGAGGCCGAGGAGGCCUUCCUCAGGCGAGCGAACUGAGUGGGACCAGUACUGCUUGGGAGCAGGAAGGGCGCUCCGGGUGGGCACAGGCCCAGGUCACGGAGGAGCUGUGGUUGGUGCUAUCUCUUAACUGCACUCCUUAUUCUUCUGCCUACCCAGGCUUUUAUCUGAUAUCCCCGUCAGAAUUUGAACGCUUCUCCCUAAGUGCCCGGAACAUCACAGAGCCGCUCUGCUCUCUGGACAUUAACUGGCCCCGCGAUGCCACCCAGGCCAGUUACAGGAUCCGAGAGUCACCCAAGCUGAGCCAGGCUAAUGGGACCCCAAGCAUCCUGCUGGCCCCACAGAGCCUUGAUGGAAGCCCUGAUCCAGCCCACAGCAAGGGACCUGACACCCCAGAGCCACCCGAGGCUGCACUCUCACCCAUGUCCAUCGACUCAGCCACCAGUGCUGACACCACGCUGGACACGACAGGGGACGUCACAGUGGAAGAUGUGAAGGAUUUCCUGGGCUCCUCUGAGGAGUCGGAGAAGAACCUGAGGAACCUGGCAGAAGACGAGGCCCACGCCUGUGCCAUCCUGAUCAAAUGAGGAAGGCCAGAACUAUCCCGACCUCCACCUGCCCUGCUUGGAGCUGGAGUGCUGGAUCCCUGGCACCUGCCUGGCCCCUUAACAUAGAACCACGCCUGCUAACCUGUAGGCUCCACUGGGACCUGCUGUCCUGUCCCGCCUGACCCUGGGCCCUGGAGCAGCACCAGCCCCAGGGUGUGGGCCUGGGACCUGGGCCAGAACUGAGCCCUCCUGCAGGCAUUUGGCUGCCCUGGGGGCCCGCUGCCUAAGGAAGAGGACAGGUGGGGCCCAGCACCUGUGCCACCUCCCCCUCCACACACCAUCCUUCCCCCUCACUUUGCAGAGUAUUUUUCCUUUUUUUGAGACGGAGUCUUGCUCUGUCGCCCAGGCUGGAGUGUAGUGGCCCCAUCUCUGCUCACUGCAAGCCCCACCUCCCGGGUUCACGCCAUUCUCCUGCCUCAGCCUCCCGAGUAGCUGGGACUAUAGGCGCCCGCCACCACGCCCAGCUAUUUUUUUCUGUAUUUUUAGUAGAGAUGGGGUUUCACCGUGUUAGCCAGGAUGGUCUCGAUCUCCUGAUCUCGUGAUCCGCCCACCUCGGCCUCCCAAAGUGCUGGGAUUACAGGCGUGAGCCACCACGCCCAGCCCUGCAAAGAGUAUUUUUCUAGUGCCUGGGCUGGACAGUUGUUUCUAAAACUAUUUUGGUACCUGCUUCUGGGCCAGUCCCCAGCCUGUCAUGAGUGAGUGUGUGUGUGUGUGUGUGUGUGUGUGGGCAUGGAUGUGACUGGGAGCUCUGCUGGGCACCCACAACUGGGGCCUAGUCAGGCGUGUGUGUCGGGGGGGGGGGGGUGGGGGGGGUCAAGAUGAGUUUCCCUGUAGAUUGUACCUUGGGGUUUUUUUCUGUCGUUUUGUUAAAAUUAGCGCCAUUUUAAUAUUAAAAAUACUGAUUUUUAAUAUUGAAAAUAAAAGCAUUUAAUAUCUCUUAAA